AGGGAAUCUUCCGCAAUGGACGAAAGUCUGACGGAGCAACGCCGCGUGAGUGAUGAAGGCCUUCGGGUCGUAAAGCUCUGUCCUUCGGGAUGAUAAUGACAGUACCGAAGGAGGAAGUCCCGGCUAACUACGUGCCAGCAGCCGCGGUAAGACGUAGGGGGCGAGCGUUGUCCGGAAUUAUUGGGCGUAAAGGGCGUGUAGGCGGUCGCUUAAGUCCGAUGUGAAAGGUCUCGGCUCAACCGAGGAUGUGCAUUGGAGACUGGGUGACUUGAGUGCAGGAGAGGAGAGCGGAAUUCCCGGUGUAGCGGUGGAAUGCGUAGAUAUCGGGAGGAACACCAGUGGCGAAGGCGGCUCUCUGGACUGUAACUGACGCUGAGGCGCGAAAGCUGGGGGAGCGAAC
rnacentral:rRNA from 1 species